rnacentral:rRNA from 1 species
UACGUAGGGGGCUAGCGUUGUCCGGAAUCAUUGGGCGUAAAGCGCGUGUAGGCGGUCCGGUAAGUCCGCUGUGAAAGUCGGGGGCUCAACCCUCGAAAGCCGGUGGAAACUGUCGGGCUAGAGUGCGGAAGAGGCGAGUGGAAUUCCUGGUGUAGCGGUGAAAUUCGUAGAUAUUAGGAAGAACACCAGUGGCGAAGGCGGCUCACUGGCCCGGUACUGACGCUGAGGUGCGAAAGCGUGGGGAGCAAACAGG